GACGAACGCUGGCGGCGUGCCUAAUACAUGCAAGUCGAGCGGACCGAACAGGAGCUUUCUCUUCUUCUGUUAGCGGCGGCCGGGUGAGUAACACGUGGGUAACCUGCCCGUAAAACCGGGAUAACUCCGUGAAACCGGAGCUAAUACCGGAUAACACCGAAGACCGCCUGGUCUUUGGUUUAAUGGCGGCUUCGUCUUCCACUUACGCAUGUGCCCGCGGCGCAUUAGCUAGUUGGUGAGGUAACGGCUCACCAAGGCGACGAUGCGUAGCCGGCCUGAGAGGGUGACCGGCCACACUGGGACUGAGACACGGCCCAGACUCCUACGGGAGGCAGCAGUAGGGAAUCUUCCGCAAUGGACGAAAGUCUGACGGAGCGACGCCGCGUGAGCGAAGAAGGGCGUCGGAUCGUAAAGCUCUGUUGUUAGGGAAGAAGAAGCGUCGUUCGAACAGGGCGGCGCGGUGACGGUACCUAACGAGAAAGCCCCGGCUAACUACGUG
rnacentral:rRNA from 1 species